UACGGGGGGAGCAAGCGUUGUUCGGAUUUACUGGGCGUAAAGGGCGCGUAGGCGGCCAGCACAAGUCAGUUGUGAAAUCUCCGAGCUUAACUCGGAAAGGUCAACUGAUACUGUGCGGCUAGAGUGCGGAAGGGGCAACUGGAAUUCUUGGUGUAGCGGUGAAAUGCGUAGAUAUCAAGAGGAACACCUGCGGCGAAGGCGGGUUGCUGGGCCGACACUGACGCUGAGGCUCGAAAGCAUGGGGAGCAAACAGG
rnacentral:rRNA from 1 species